GAUGAACGCUGGCGGCGUGCUUAACACAUGCAAGUCGAACGAAGCACUUUAUUUGAUUUCCUUCGGGACUGAUUAUUUUGUGACUGAGUGGCGGACGGGUGAGUAACGCGUGGGUAACCUGCCUUGUACAGGGGGAUAACAGUUGGAAACGGCUGCUAAUACCGCAUAAGCGCACAGCAUCGCAUGAUGCAGUGUGAAAAACUCCGGUGGUAUAAGAUGGACCCGCGUUGGAUUAGCUAGUUGGUGAGGUAACGGCCCACCAAGGCGACGAUCCAUAGCCGACCUGAGAGGGUGACCGGUCACAUUGGGACUGAGACACGGCCCAAACUCCUACGGGAGGCAGCAGUAGGGAAUAUUGCACAAUGGGCGAAAGCCUGAUGCAGCGACGCCGCGUGAGCGAAGAAGUAUUUCGGUAUGUAAAGCUCUAUCAGCAGGGAAGAUAAUGACGGUACCUGACUAAGAAGCACCGGCUAAAUACGUG
rnacentral:rRNA from 1 species